rnacentral:rRNA from 1 species
AGAACGAACGCUGGCGGCAGGCCUCAAACAUGCAAGUCUAGGGGAUGUAGCAAUACAUCACCGGCGGACGGGUGCGUAACACGUGGGAAUAUACCUUUCGGUACGGAACAACUGCGGGAAACUGCAGCUAAUACCGUAUACGUCCUUACGGAGAAAGAUUUAUCGCCGAAGGAUUAGCCCGCGUUCGAUUAGCUAGUUGGUGAGGUAAUGGCUCACCAAGGCGACGAUCGAUAGCUGUUCUGAGAGGAAGAUCAGCCACACUGGGACUGAGACACGGCCCAGACUCCUACGGGAGGCAGCAGUUGGGAAUCUUGGACAAUGGGGGAAACCCUGAUCCAGCCAUGCCGCGUGAGUGAUGAAGGCCUUCGGGUUGUAAAGCUCUUUACCCGGGAAGAUAAUGACUGUACCGGGAGAAUAAGCUCCGGCUAACUUCGUGCCAGCAGCCGC